UUUCCUGCAGGAAGUCAAGAACCCACACACUACCCCGACCAGCAGACCUGCCUGCCAAGGGCCAGGUCCCCUUUCUGGAAAAUUUGGCCCAUGCUUGAUAUGAGGUCAUGGAUGAAAAACACUUUCCAACAAUGCCUGGCACAGGGGAAUGUGGUUCGGUGACAUGGCCUCAAGGUGAACUCUGGGUGAAAGGGACACUGUCAGCAAAAACAGCUGGCUCAGCUGACAUGGUGAUGUGAACACGAUCCAGUGCUUACUGUUGGUGCCAGACACUGUUUCAACAGCCAGUCCGUUCAUCUUUAUACUGUCCCCACAAGAAGGUCCCCGUCUAUGCACAAGACAGAAAGUAGCACUGUCAGCUGUCAAAGCCCUGACCUCUGGCAACAGGAGCUCCACACCUUGGACCACGGGGCGGCCGCUCUCAUGGCUGGAACAGAACCUUCAGAGUCCUGACACCUGGGGCCCCUCCCCAGAGCU